rnacentral:rRNA from 1 species
CCAGCAGCCGCGGUAAUUCCAGCUCCAAUAGCGUAUAUUAAAGUUGUUGCAGUUAAAACGCUCGUAGUCUGAUGUAAUGGGGACUGGUGUGGGGAGCAGCGAUGCUCUGUGCAGCGGUCCUCAUCAGGGGGCCAGCAAUGGCCCAGUUUACUUUGAGGAAAUUAGAGUGUUCAAAGCAGGCGAUUGCUUGAAUAUUGCAGCUUGGGAUAAUGAAACAGGACGAGAGUUCUAUUUUGUUGGUUUCUAGGGCUUUUGUAAUGAUUAAAAGGGACAGUUGGGGGCAUUAGUAUUCAGUUGUCAGAGGUGAAAUUCUAGGAUUUACUGAAGACUAACUACUGCGAAAGCAUUUG